rnacentral:rRNA from 1 species
AUGGCAGGCGUGGCGCCCUCCGCCUCCGCGCGCCAGAUAUCCCACACGCACUUCAUCGAGCAGCUCCGCCGCGCCGCCCGCGCCCGCGACGGCGAGGCGCUCCACGCCUGGGCGCUCAAGUCCGGCGCCGCCUCGCACGCGCCCGUCUCCAACUCCCUCAUCACCUUCUACGCUUCCCUCCCGCGGCCGCUCCUCGCCGCGGCGCUGGCCGUCUUUGCGGGCAUCCCCGCCGCCGCCCGCGACGUCGCCUCCUGGAACUCCCUGCUCAACCCGCUCUCGCACCACCACCCGCGCGCCGCGCUCUCUCACUUCCGCUCCAUGAUGUUCUCGUCCUCGCCCGCCAUCCUCCCGUCCCCGCACUCCUUUGCGGCCGUCUUCACAGCCGCUGCCCGCGCGCGCUCCGCGUCCGCCGGAGCCGCCGCCCACGCCCUCGCUUGCAAGGUCCCCUCGGCUAGCUCCAACGUGUUCGUGUUCACCUCUCUGCUCAACAUGUACUGCAAGCUGGACCUCGUCCCUGAUGCCCGGAGGGUGUUCGACGAAAUGCCGGUGCGGAACGAGUUCUCUUGGGCCGCCAUGGUGGCGGGCUAUGCUUCCACAAAGUGCUCGGAGGAGGCCUUUGAGAUCUUCCAGUUGAUGCUUGCAGAGUGCCCGUCGCAGAAAAAUGAGUUUGCGGCCACGGCUGUUCUUAGUGCGGUCAGUGUGCCCUCGGGCUUGCCAAUGGGGGUGCAGCUGCAUGGGUUGGCUGUGAAGGAUGGGUUGGUGGUGUUUGUGUCGGUUGAAAACUCGCUUGUCACGAUGUAUGCAAAGGCUGGGUGUAUGGAUGCAGCAUUCCAUGUGUUUGCGUCGUCUAAGGAGAGGAACUCCAUCACUUGGUCUGCGAUGAUCACUGGCUACGCGCAGAAUGGGAAUGCAGAAAGCGCAUUUAGAAUGUUCUUACAGAUGCUUGCUGCAGGGUUUUCACCAACUGAGUUCACUUUGGUUGGGGUGCUCAAUGCUUGUAGUGAUGUGGGAGCAUUGAUGGAAGGAAAGCAGACACAUGGUUUGAUGGUGAAGCUUGGGCUUGAAGCGCAGGUGUAUGUGAAGAGCGCACUGGUGGACAUGUAUGCCAAAUGCGGCUGUAUUACUGAUGCAAAGGAAGGUUUUCAUCAAUUUCAUGAGCUUGACAUUGUCCUUUGGACGGCUAUGGUUGCCGGGCAUGUGCAGAAUGGGGAGCAUGAGGAAGCCUUGAGGUUGUAUGCCAGGAUGGACAAGGAGGGCAUCACUCCGACUAACUUGACUAUAACCAGUGUUCUUAGAGCAUGUGCUGGCCUCGCAGCAUUGGAGCCAGGGAAGCAAUUGCACACGCAAAUACUCAAGUUCGGGUUUGGUUUGGGGUCUUCUGUCGGAAGUGCCUUGUCUACAAUGUAUUCAAAGUGUGGAAACCUUGACGAUGGCAUGGUUGUAUUCAGAAGGAUGCCUCAUAAGGAUGUUAUUGCAUGGAACUCGAUCAUUUCUGGAUUUUCUCAGAAUGGACGUGGAAAUGAAGCACUUGACCUGUUUGAGGAGAUGAAGCUAGAGGGCACUGCUCCAGAUCAUAUAACAUUCAUUAAUGUAUUAUGUGCUUGUAGUCACAUGGGCCUAGUUGACAGAGGAUGGAUUUACUUUAGGUCAAUGACCACAGACUAUGGUUUAACUCCUAGGCUGGAUCAUUAUGCUUGCAUGGUUGAUAUUCUUAGCCGAGCAGGGAUGCUAAAUGAAGCAAAAGAUUUCAUAGAGUCCAUUAGUAUUGACCAUGGAACAUGUUUGUGGCGUAUAUUAUUGGGAGCAUGUCGCAGUAUACGGGAUUUUGAUGUCGGAGCAUAUGCAGGUGAGCAGCUGAUGGAGUUAGGUACUGGGGACUCCUCUGCAUAUAUAUUGUUGUCAAACAUCUAUGCUGCCCAGAGAAAAUGGACUGAUGUUGAGCGGGUGAGGCAUUUGAUGAGAUCUAGAGGAGUUAGCAAAGAUCCAGGAUGCAGCUGGGUUGAGCUUAACAGCAAAAUCCAUGUGUUUGUUGUUGGGGAGCAGCAACAUCCUGAGGCGGAAAAUAUAAAUACAGAGUUGAGAAGGCUCGCUAAACACAUGAAGGACGAAGGGUACUGUCCAAGAUUUAAAUUUGCAUGGGUUGAAGAACUGGAUAAUUUGAGAGAAUCUCAUGAAGAAGAUCAAUUCGAGUUGAUAUCGGUAGUUUCUAGCUGA